rnacentral:siRNA from 1 species
CUUUCCCCAAGGCGUGGCCGC